GCAAUACUUGCAAAGUAGAGAUUUCAUCAAAGGGAGGAAACACUACGAAUAUGCAAAAGCAUUUGCUCAAAAAACACGCGAUUGCUUUCAACGAAUGUCGUGUUUUUGAUCCGCUCCGGACUAGCGAAGCUCAACCCAGCAGCAGCGGUAGCGUUUCCACGUCCUCUCCCGUUAAUACUGCAGAUAACCAUGAUGAGAGAGACAGAGUCUGGCUGGCUCAGAUGCUGGCAGUUCUCGCUGCAGUCUACCGGUAGCGUCUCCUUUCAGGCCAGGAUAGACGAAUGUCAACCAGCAGUGUCUAAGUUUGUGGUCAAAGGCUUGCACCCAUUUGCCACAGCAGAUGCCCCCGAUUUCACUUUGGUAUGUGCCCACCCAUUGUAGACAUGGGCAGCUUGCCGCCAUGUGAUCCACUACUGGGUUUAAAAGCUUAUAGCCCACAGUGAAGGACACAGUAUACAAUUCCCCAUUGAGCCACAUUGCAC
ensembl:lncRNA